CCGAGGGUUGGCUAAGUCAUUGGCAAUCAUUUCCUCGUAUGUUAGACGUCUUUCGUUGCAAGCAACUUCAGCAGUACCUUUGGAUGCAAUAUACUCAAACAAGAGGGCUGCUGGCAAAUGUGAAGACGGAGGAAAGGAGCCAAAGACUAUUUUAUAUUAUAUACACAACAACAAUGGCCAAUCGGCAGACGAAGAAAACAAGCGCUUUCAUUUACAUCAAAGAUUUUAAGGAGUAUUUCCGCCGGACCUACACUGGCCUAUUUGUCGAGAUGGCGCUCUAUGGAAAAGAAUCAAUUCAACAGGGAAAACUCGAGGGCAGUGAUGUUCACAAGUACCUUGACGAGGUUCGGCACUCAAUUCUAUUCCUUGGACAAAUCAACAAACCCCGCAUCAACCCUGAAGAGAUGCCUAUUCUUGAGAAAUUCCGAAGCUCGUCAGCAAACCCAGAUGCAUUCAAAACCCACGUGCCAAGAACAACACCAUACUCGAUUCUACUGGAGAUGGUCGUCCGUGCUGAGGGUCCUGGAAACAGCGAUGCCAUCAAGACGACUCUGGAGGGCCUUGCUGAAAGAAUUCUGCAGCCUUAUUCCCCGACGAUGCCAAAACUGCCUUUUUUUGCCACUGUAGUAUCACAAAGUUGUUUCUGUGAUGAGAGCAAGGCUACAACAUUCUAAAUGCCACACCUUUCUGGGGCGCCUCCUUGAGCUGUUCAGGAAAAGAAGCGUCAGAAAUAAUGUUGGCCCUCAACUGCCUGUUCAACUGGCAUCCACUCGUAGCCCAAGCUGUCACAUUCGCCCAAAACCACCCAGAUGCAAGUGGUAUUUUAAAAUUCCCUCCGACGGUGACCUCCAGGGCCUACAAGCACAACGACUUGAAUCUGAAACUCGACGAGUGCCCACCGUGUUCUAGAUGCGUGACAGUCUUUACGAGUUGCACAUUCAUACCUCGCCCGGAGAAAAU